AGAGUUUGAUCAUGGCUCAGAUUGAACGCUGGCGGCAGCCCUUAUACAUGCAAGUCGAACGAGAAAGUUCCUUCGGGAGCGAGUAAAGUGGCGGACGGGUGGGUAACGCGUAGGAAUCUACCUUUCAGUGGGGGAUAGCUCGGGGAAACUCGAAUUAAUACCGCAUACACCCUUCGGGGGAAAGGGGGCCUCUCCUUGGAAGCUCUCGCUGUUAGAUGAGCCUGCGUGAGAUUAGCUUGUUGGUAAGGUAAUGGCUUACCAAGGCUACGAUCUCUAGCUGGUCUGAGAGGACGAUCAGCCACACUGGGACUGAGACACGGCCCAGACUCCUACGGGAGGCAGCAGUAGGGAAUAUUGGACAAUGGGGGCAACCCUGAUCCAGGCAUGCCGCGUGUGUGAAGAAGGCCUUAGGGUUGUAAAGCACUUUAAGUGAGGAAGAAAAGAUUUAAACUAAUACUUUAAGUCCCUGACAUUACUCACAGAAUAAGGACCGGCUAACUCCGUGCCAGCAGCCGCGGUAAUAC
rnacentral:rRNA from 1 species